rnacentral:rRNA from 1 species
GACGAACGCUGGCGGCGUGCCUAAUACAUGCAAGUUGAGCGCUGAAGGUUGGUACUUGUACCGACUGGAUGAGCAGCGAACGGGUGAGUAACGCGUGGGGAAUCUACCUUUGAGCGGGGGACAACAUUUGGAAACGAAUGCUAAUACCGCAUAAAAACUUUAAACACAAGUUUUAAGUUUGAAAGAUGCAAUUGCAUCACUCAAAGAUGAUCCCGCGUUGUAUUAGCUAGUUGGUGAGGUAAAGGCUCACCAAGGCGAUGAUACAUAGCCGACCUGAGGGGGUGAUCGGCCACAUUGGGACUGAGACACGGCCCAAACUCCUACGGGAGGCAGCAGUAGGGAAUCUUCGGCAAUGGACGAAAGUCUGACCGAGCAACGCCGCGUGAGUGAAGAAGGUUUUCGGAUCGUAAAACUCUGUUGGUAGAGAAGAACGUUGGUGAGAGUGGAAAGCUCAUCAAGUGACGGUAACUACCCAGAAAGGGACGGCUAACUACGUG